GANGAAGGCGGAGCAGGUGGUGCUUUUGGCUCCCCCAUGGACAUCUUUGAUAUGUUUUUUGGAGGAGGAGGAAGGAUGCAGAGAGAAAGGCGGGGUAAAAAUGUUGUGCAUCAGCUCUCAGUAACCUUAGAAGAUUUAUAUAAUGGUGCAA